AGUGAACGCUGGCGGUAGGCCUAACACGUGCAAGUCGAACGGCAGCACAGGAGAGCUUGCUCUCUGGGUGGCGAGUGGCGGACGGGUGAGGAAUACAUCGGAAUCUACUCUGUCGUGGGGGAUAACGUAGGGAAACUUACGCUAAUACCGCAUACGACCUACGGGUGAAAGCAGGGGAUCUUCGGACCUUGCGCGAUUGAAUGAGCCGAUGUCGGAUUAGCUAGUUGGCGGGGUAAAGGCCCACCAAGGCGACGAUCCGUAGCUGGUCUGAGAGGAUGAUCAGCCACACUGGAACUGAGACACGGUCCAGACUCCUACGGGAGUCAGCAGUGGGGAAUAUUGGACAAUGGGCGCAAGCCUGAUCCAGCCAUACCGCGUGGGUGAAGAAGGCCUUCGGGUUGUAAAGCCCUUUUGUUGGGAAAGAAAUCCAGCUGGCUAAUACCCGGUUGGGAUGACGGUACCCAAAGAAUAAGCACCGGCUAACUUCGUGCCAGCCGCCGCCGUAA
rnacentral:rRNA from 1 species